ACCCAGACUCCUACGGGAGGCAGCAGUGGGGAAUAUUGCACAAUGGGGGAAACCCUGAUGCAGCGACGCCGCGUGGAGGAAGAAGGUCUUCGGAUUGUAAACUCCUGUCCUUGGGGACGAUAAUGACGGUACCCAAGGAGGAAGCACCGGCUAACUACGUGCCAGCAGCCGCGGUAAAACGUAGGGUGCAAGCGUUAUCCGGAUUCACUGGGCGUAAAGGGAGCGCAGGCGGCAUGGCAAGUCUGAUGUGAAAACCCGGGGCCCAACCCCGGGAGUGCAUUGGAAACUGCCAGGCUGGAGUGUCGGAGGGGUAAGCGGAAUUCCUAGUGUAGCGGUGAAAUGCGUAGAUAUUAGGAGGAACACCAGUGGCGAAGGCGGCUUACUGGACGACUACUGACGCUGAGGCUCGAAAGCGUGGGGAGCAAACAGGAUUAGAUACCCCGGUACG
rnacentral:rRNA from 1 species